rnacentral:rRNA from 1 species
GGAUGGGCAUGCGGCGCAUUAGGUAGUUGGUGGGGCAACGGCCCACCAAGCCGACGAUGCGUAGGGGUUCUGAGAGGAAGGUCCCCCACAUUGGAACUGAGACACGGUCCAAACUCCUACGGGAGGCAGCAGUGAGGAAUAUUGGUCAAUGGCCGGAAGGCUGAACCAGCCAAGUCGCGUGAGGGAAUAAGGCCCUACGGGUCGUAAACCUCUUUUGCCAGGGAGCAAUGCCGUCCACGUGUGGACGGAAGGAGAGUACCUGGAGAAAAAGCAUCGGCUAACUCCGUGCCAGCAGCCGCGGUAAUACGGAGGAUGCGAGCGUUAUCCGGAUUUAUUGGGUUUAAAGGGUGCGUAGGCGGCCUGCCAAGUCAGCGGUAAAAUUGCGGGGCUCAACCCCGUACAGCCGUUGAAACUGCCGGGCUCGAGUGGGCGAGAAGUAUGCGGAAUGCGUGGUGUAGCGGUGAAAUGCAUAGAUAUCACGCAGAACCCCGAUUGCGAAGGCAGCAUACCGGCGCCCGACUGACGCUGAGGCACGAAAGUGCGGGGAUCAAACAGGAUUAGAUACCCUGGUAGUCCGCACAGUAAACGAUGAAUGCUAGCUGUCCGGGGGGAUUGACCCCUGG